AUUAAAAAAAUACUUGGCGAAAAAAAUAUCGGCGAAAAUCAGCCGCGUAUCGGCCGAUACCGAUACACGUGAAAAACGCGAAUAUCGGCCUAUAAUAUCGGCCGACCGAUAUAUCGGUCGAUCCCUGGUCUGUUGUUCAGUGUUGGAUGAAUCACAAACCUAAGUUGACUGGUAGUGGACACACACACACACACACACACACACACACACACACACACACACACACACACACACACACACACACACACACGUCAGUCCUCAUACUUCCAGCUCCAACUAUGAAUCAAUUAUUAACAGUCUAGAUCCAUCUGCCACAUACAUUUUAUAAUCCUCUUUUAAAUAUCCUUUCUCUGUCCAUCCUUAUCUACCGAGUUUGUCAGAACAUUGAUGUCAGCCGUCCCGGACAUGAAAGUCCGCCGGCCUCGUUCUUUUGCUGAAGAGGGAUAGAGGGAGGGAGGAAGGGCGUUUUGAUGGGGUGGAGGGAGGGACAGAGAAGGCUGUAGACCUUAAUGGAUCCAUGCUAUGUGUGUGCAAGGCAUGUCAAUCAAAUGAUCCUUCUGGGAAUGCAUGAAAACGUAUAUAUGCACAAGCGAGAAGGUAUCCCUAAACCCAUAUGUCUGCCAACGUGCGUAAUCCGAUAAGGGGAUAUGGAUAUGUUGUCAGUAUAUUGGAGUGCUACUCCUUUGGUCUGUGACACCUCCACCCUAAUCCCCAUCAGAAGUCAAUGAGCUGCUCCUCCGCAGGGCCAGUAUAAGAGGCUUAGGCUUGCGCGAUCCUGCCCCCUGUUUGCUUUACCUCCCCGCGGCUAAGCUAGCCAGUGCUAAUCUCAGCCCACAAGAGUCCAUUACCUAUCGUUAAGGAGGGUAAAAACCACACCAGACAUGACCAGCCACCAUGUCACAGUGGAAAUUGCUUAUUAAAAAUACACAUUUUUGGUGAUAGACUAGUAGCUGUCAGUCUUCUACUUGCUAAAUAGUAAUGCCUACAGGGUGACAUUUCUUUUCUUUUUGAUCCCCAAGGGUGAAUGUUCCAUUGAGAGUGUGUGUGUGUGUGUGUGUGUGUGUGUGUGUGUGUGUGUCUGUGUCUGUGUCUGUGUGUGUGUGUGUGUGUGUGUGUGUGUGUGUGUGUGUGUGUGUGUGUGUGUGUAUGUGUGUGUGUGUGUGUGUGUGUGUGUGUGUGUGUGUGUGUGUGUGUGUAAUUUCAUUGACAAUGAUAACAUCAGUGUGAUGUAACAAAUCAGUUGGCGCGUCUACAUUGACAUGAUGUGAACACAAUAAUGGCACACAACUACUGAUGUAGUUGUGUGUUGGUUUAUGUUUGUUAAAUGGUUUACCUGCCAGCUGCACAUCUGUGUAGUUUGCUCUCAUGCUAAUUAAAUUAACCCUUAGCUUAGAGUGUCACUUUGUCUGUUGGCUACUUUUAACGAAGUAAGCUAAAUAGAAAGAGUUGUAGUGUCAAGAAGUUAGCCAUUUAGCAAUUUAGCACACAAUUGGUGCAAGUUUCCUGACAACACCAUGGUCUACUUAUUCUCCAUAAAUAGAUUCUUAUUUAAAUACACUAGCAAUGAAGUGUUUGACUCUCGGUUGCGUAGCCACCUACAUGUUUAUCCGUAAUCCCCGACUCGACCACAGCGUAGGGCGUUAGAACGGUUGGGCUGCCGAAUGUUUGCAUACAGUCGUCGUCCCCCCCACCCCCCCACCCCCAGCGCUACCAAGGUGGUCUUGGAAAGCCACCAACAUCCCCUUCAGCGGCGAUGUAAUGUGAAAGCAAUUAGCAGCCUGUGGUUUUACAGUGCAGCGAGAUAUGUGUGGAACAACAGAUGGGGAUACACCCCAGCCCUAGGUACGGGGCUGUGGGCCCGUGCACUGCACCUCUCCGCUCUCACUGCCACCAGCUUCAUACAAUGUUUUGUUUUUUUGCCAAGAACAGCAAGGCUGUUAUUGCACGUCGGGGCUCAUUACCUGUGAGACAUUCAAGCUGGAUUUGGGUGUUCUAGUGAUUAUCAGAUAUAACUAAGCCCAUUUAAAGACUAAUAGGGGAUUGAGAGUUGUGAUACAGUGUGAUUUGUGAUUUGUAUCAUGUAUUGGGGUCAACAGCAGGGGUACCAAAGUCAACAGGUUGAGCCACUUGGCUACAACUACUAUCAAAUACCAGAGAAAGGUUUUGUAAUGUGCCUUUCAGCAAGGGAGAGGAACUAGUGAUUGUCUUGAGGUGAUUAAUCUACCAGUGCCAGGAAUCCAUGGGUUCAGAACAAGACAUCAGUCACCUGGUGUUCAUUUGAAUGGGAAGGAGAUUCAAAGUGAUAAGAAUCUGCAUUUGACUGAUGGAGACACACACGCACAGAAUGCACUGUCCAACACACAUGCGCAGUCCAACAUACAAGCACAGUCACACAGAUGUGAGUAAAUGCAAUGGUGUGUGUUUGUGUUUAUUGUGAGAGUGUGGGUGAGCGGGCCUUCUGCCACAUCUGGCAGCCUGCGGGAUUGAUUUUUUCUUGGUUAGUAAAUGAGGGGGGAAUACUCCCAGCUGCAAUUUAAGAAAUCCUCCAUCUGGAAUGUCUUUUGUAUAGAGACAUAGUCGCAUGCCCAUUCUCGCACAAAAAACAUUACUCCCAGAGUCAAUAAAACUUGCAUAUCGGAUCUAACAAAUCACGUUCCGUUUCUCUCGCAUGAAAAUCCUUAUCAUCCACCUAUCUUUGACCGUCUGUGUGACUGUGCUUAUUGUUAUUUUUUACAUUAACAGAUGCCUUAAAUAGCCACUGAUCCACGCCCAAAUUAUCACAGAAGGAGACAUUGAGGAGACGCAGAAUGUGUUCUUUUGGAUCGGUCUCCAUUUGGUUCUGAGGCUGAGAUAGAUAUGUCUGCUGAGAAGAUUGAGGAGAGACUGUUAAACCGUAUCGGUGGCUUUCUAUGCCAGCAUUACCAAGCAGGAAAGAUUUUAAAAUAAAUGGUACAAUGUAAAACCUGAAGGCAAUUUUUAAACAAAGGAGGAGGCUCACUUGUUGUUUUUGUUAACAACAAGUGAGCCUCCUCACUUGUUGGUCACUUUCCUACACGUCGUCGCCGCUUCAGCGUAAUUAUGUUUUCAUCAUUUGAAGACGGUAGCAUCUUCACUGACUCGGGCUGUGUGUGAAUAACAUGGAAGCCUCCUUAUCAGGUAAAGUCAUUUUCACCUACAAUGUUCCCGUUCCAGCCCCCCAGCCGCUUUGCCAACAUAUUUCUGCCUUCUAGGAGAGGGGGGGAGAGGGGGAGAGAGAGAGCCUAGAGCUGAAAAGCAGCUUUUGUCUCGGCAGCCUUUCCCUGAGGCCUUGGCCUGCAUGCAUGCUUGUGGCCCUAUCAGCAAAUCAUAAACUAUGCACAGCAGGACCCCGAGAGAGAGAGUAUGGUAGAGAAGAGGAGGAAGGAGAAGAAGGGAGGCACAGGGGUGCAGAAUAAAAAAAUAUGAAAGGGAACAAAAAGCAGCAAACACGUCAGAUAGGAUUUUCUGUGCGGGAGGAAUUCGGCGGUGGAAAAUGGCGGUCACAUGUGCUUUGUUGUGUAGGUUUAGAAGCACUAACCUUGACUUGUCUUACUGAUAAGGUGUCUGUGUGUGUUGUGUGUGCAUGGUGAGAGAGUUCUGGGGAACUGAAGGGCAAUAACAUCUCGUUGUGGCACACAUGUUUUAGAGCCAAUGUGAACGCAACGUAACCUACCGGAGGCCUGAAACCCAAAUGGAAGGAAACAUUUAAGUAUUUGUUUAACUUCAUUUGUAACUCAAUCUUACAAGACUCGCCGGUUGUGGUGCUCCAUGCCUGUCAUCUCCCACCCGGCCUCUCCCUAGCAGUUGAUCUCAGCAGUGUUUUUCCCUCCCUAUCAUUAGCUUGUCUGCACUCUUCUGCCCCCCCCCCACCCCCAUAUGACUGUUACCCUAUGGAAUCUCGUGGCUUUCUUCUGGCGUGUUCUGUCAGCAUGUUCCUGGGGCCAAACAUAACGUAAUACUGCAGUGGCCGCAGUCAGCACCGUACUGAAGGGAUGGACGUUUUCUGGGCCUUUGUUGCCAUAGGGAUAUCUUCCUGCGCAGAUACAGAACAAUUAGGGUGAAGGGAUGACCUCACCCCUCAAACUACAUGCACACCUUGGGGAGGAAAAAUGAAUAAUUUGACGCCAUAUACAUUGUGAGAUGAAAACACUGUCUGUCCCGUGAUUUUGGCCGUUUCCCGUUAAAUUAUCAGAUUUUUUUUCAGUGUUGUCUUAGUUCUCUAACCCUGUUCCCAAAGGGGGGUUUCUUCAACUUGUAUCCACAUUGUAGCGAGUUGAAAGCGGCAACACCUGCCGAAACCAGUGGUGGAUCUCUCUCCAUUCCUGCCAUGAGCAAUGAGGAGGCACAAGAAAGAGCAUAUCUUUCCUUACGCUAAAAGGGAAUACAGCCUUAUCAAUCACAGUAUGCAAAUAUUCAUACAUAUUUACAUAACUAUAAAUUGUUGGGACAAAUAAACUGUGAGCGAUGCAAGGAGGGUCAAGGUGUAAGGGCAUAAGAAUACACGCCCUUUGUAACACCGACCUGUGAUGUUUCCUACAUGUGUGAUGACUGUCUGCUAUGCCAGUUCAUCCACAUGCAGUUCAGUGAAGCAAACAAGCCAAUAAAAUGGAACGGUGAGCAAACGAGUGAGUGAAGCUGGGGGACAAUGGGGCAAGGGGGUCAAGCUAUUGUGAGGCGUGGCGACCGGGGCUGAGAAGAGGAGCAGGGGCGGGUUGUUCAUGCCUGCGGUGGGACGGAAUAGUGGGGUCCUCUUUAGUGUCAAAUGAAUAACUCCCGAACUAACACCAGAGUCCCAGGGUUCAUCAGUUAGCUGAGAGAGAGAGAGAGAGAGAGAGAGAGAGAGAGAGAGAGAGAGAGAU